AGAGAAUUUCAUCUGAAUAAGAACCGGAUCUGGGCCCUGAGCUAGAUGAUAAAUCAAGUCCAAGCCCAAGGUUUGAAUCCGGGUCGAUCACGGUUCGCCACAGACGGCGUCAAAACAGUCCGGAUCUUCCUACCCGUGGACCGGGAGACCCGAUUUCUACUGUUCUAGUUUCGUUCUGGUGAAUCUUCAGGGGUUUUCGUGUGUUUGGGCAGUGCGAAAAGAAUUGGAAUUGAAUUGUUUGGCGAUAAAAAUGGUAGAAAUAGGAAAUCAGAGGCAGAGAAGAGUAGCUUCGUCCAAUUCGAUUGGUCGUUGUUUGAUAUCAUUUGCCUCUUCAUCCCUAACUCAACUGUCCCUCUUCUUGCUUCCUUCCUUCUUCCCUUCCUUCUCUCUCCUCUCUCUCUCUCCUCUCACUCUCAGCUUUAGCACUGUUGGGAGUGACAGGUGUUGGGAGAUGCUGCAAGAGACUUGUAGGAGUGGCAGAAUCAGCGCCGGCUUUCGUUUUCUUCAAUAUUGUAUUCAUUUGGGGCGUUUAUAUUGGAUUGGUUCGACAAGUCAUUUCACCUUUGCUAGACGUUAUACUCAAUGCAGAGUUCUCUAUGCUCGUGAUUGGUCUAUGCAGUAUCCUGACAACAGACCCUGGUUGUGUUACAAAUGAAUCUUCCCAUCAUAACCAGCUUGUUGAGAGUCCUGUCUCAGUAUUUGAAGCCCAUUCUGAGGUUGAAAAUGUUGAGAAGCCCCUCCAAUUAGAUAUGAGUCAUAUAAUUAACACAGAUAUUGAAAUUAUCUUCUGGAGCAGGAACUGGUGCCUUCAACUUGUGACAUUCCCUACGAGUUUGUUGCUGAAGAAAAUUCUAUUCCACUUCAGAGAGUCAGAUAUUGUAGGCACUGCAAGGCAUUUGUAAAGGGGUUCGACCAUCAUUGUCCUGCUUUUUGAAACUGUAUAGGUCAAAAAAACCAUGUCCUCUUCAUAAUCCUCCUUUUUGGGUUUGUUUUUACCAAGGCUUCGUAUGUAGAAUCCUCAUCUCAAUUUGCUACAAAAUUUCAGAUCAUGGAUAACAUUGGGGGUCUGACUAGUUCGGCUAGAAAUUUGGCAAUUAGCACAAUGCUAUUCUCUCUUCUCCAAGUUCUCUGGCAGGUGUACAUUGUUUCUUCUCCUAUACAAGUUCUUCCUAUUUGAAUAUUGAUUUGUUAUCUAACAGGAACAUGCUGGUGAAUGUUUAUAGGGGGUGUUCCUGUCAUGGCAUAUUUAUUGUGUUUGUUUCAACAUUAGAACUGAUGAAUGGGGAAGUUCUCAAAUCUAUUCUGUUCACUGAUGCAGUCAUACUCUGAGCUUUAAGUGUUUCAAUUCUCUAAUUUCAUGAUUUUUUGAAUAAUUGUAAAUUAGAGUUGGAGCCCUCUGAUCUUUGAAUUCCCAAACCAUUUGUUUUUGGGGGCGUUUCUUGAACUCCUUAAAGAAACAUUUUAAUCUAUAUGGAAGAAGCAAGGGAUGUUUAUGUUACCAAUUUGGUGCUAUGGUGUAUAGAUUUGGCUUGUCAACAAAGAUUACUACGGAAACUCCUUUCCGAGCCUUUUUAACAUCAAAUGAUUUCUAUCCUUUGUAAAAUAUAUUUACCCUUACUUUAACGUGGAAAAUGGUUACCCUCAAAAUCAUGCUUGGCUACAUGGGUGGCCUCAGUAUGGUGCUGAGAAGACCUAAGUAGAAUUUUUUAAGGGUAAGCAUGGUCCGGAUUGGAGUAAAAUCAGGACCAAUUCAUUAUUUGCGGUUCUUGAAAAAUUGGAACCAAUCCAAUUUGUUUAAAUCGUAGAACCAAUCUAAACCAAUCCAUUUAAACACAGAUUGGAUCGGUUUAGGACCAUAGAUUCACAUAAUUAAAUAACUAAAAAAAUAAAAAUAAAAAUAAAAAUAAAAAUAGAGCAUUUUAAUUUCAUAAAAAUAUAAACAUAGCAUCAUAUUAGUUCCACAAUAGUAACAUGUCUUUCCAAGAUAGUGACAUAUUGUUCUAGAAUUUAAACAAUCAUAAGAAAAUUGGUUCCACCAUAAGUAUUUAGACCAUUACAAAUUAAAACUAAAAACCAACAAUAAAAGAAGAUAUUAUGCAGGUUUAGAUUUGGGUUUAGGUUUUAUAUGGAAUAAGAGAAGAUACUAUGUGAGAGGGUGUAUAAUAUAAAUAUAGGUUAUUUAUAUACGGUCUGGAUCGGUUUCAUUCCGGAACCGUGGCGUUCAAUUUGGAACUAAUCCGUAGAUUACUGAUUUUUAAUUUUUCAAUCUGAAACCAAACCACGGAUUCAAAAAACCAAUUCAAACCUACCGGAUUGGAUUGAACCAGAUCGGAUUACAGAUUUUACGGAUUCUUUGUUCAGUCGUAAAAUUUUUUGACUCUUGAAAGGACAUAAAAAACCGUAGGUUAGACCAGUUAGAUAAUGUACAGCCAGCACCGUGGAUGGCCUGAGACAGAAUGACGUCUAAUUAUGUGUGAAGAAUAGGAUAAGAGAAAUCUGCAGUACUUGUGACUGUAGACACUAUUUUUAUGCAGAUAAACUCGAAAAGGCAUCCAGAGUUCCAUUUGAUUGUCCAGUCUGAACUGGGUAUUUUUAGUUCAUAGUUCUGGUGGCUCUGUAUAUUGUUUAACCAUCUAUACCCAAAUUGGUCUUUGAAUUAUUUUUUUGUCCAGGGCAAACCUCAAGUGAAAGUGAACCAAGGUUUACAAAUCCAUAUGACAAGGGAAUUCUGUGGAAAGUGAAGGAGUUUCUGACAGCAAAAGAAUGAUAAAUGCAUCCAUCUCGCUUGGAAAGCUAUAUACAUGGUUCUCUGUUGCUGCAAAAGAUGGGUUACUUUAUACGGCUGUGAAUUGCUCGAUGGUAAUGCAAAUUUACAUGGAGCAAUUCCCAACGACAUUAACCUGAUAAUUUGGAGACAAAAUGAUGUUUGGAAAGGUUCAAUUGGAACAUCUUUAAAUUCCAACACGAUCGAUUGUUUGGAGAUCUUGCAGUUUCAGCUGUGAGAAUUUUCAUUGCAAACAGAGAGGUAGUUCCAAGGCAAUUGUAUGAUAUAUACUAUAUGGAGGUGUUUGAUUGGAAGGAUUAGGGUGUGAGAUUGGAUUGUAAUCAAUUGGAAGUCCCUUAUUUGGCGUUUGUUUUUUUUUUUUAGUCCGUUGAAUAUGGAGUUCGGCCAGACUCUUUAUCCUCCAUAUAUGGGAUUACACUGUCCCGGGAGGGGGGGGGGGGGGGGGGACAAUUUUCAUGGGCUAACAAUCCCAUGGGAUUAAAUCAUAAAAAGUCUAUUUUGCCCUCAUCAUAGAUAAUUUGUUUCCUCUGUUUAGCCCUCGUCAUUUAUUUUGCCCUCGUUAUUUUAGAAGAAGCAAAAAUGGCAAAACCCUAGCAGGCGAUUCUUUUGCUUGAGGUUGAAUUUCAUCAAAUCAUUCGAUCUCCUAGGUUUGAAACACUUUCUACGUCUUUCAUUUUGUUUGUUAUUUAUUUUUUAUUUCAAUUUUGAUUGUUGUGGUUGAUUUGGUUGA